rnacentral:sRNA from 1 species
GGCGUUUGCUGUGAGAAUGGAGAACGCAGGGGAACGCCCCUGACUGAGAAGCGGGCCCUGGGAAACGAUUGUGAACGCGUGAAUGAAUUGAUGACUAAAAUCUGCUGCGGGGGUCCUCCAGCGCAGAUGAUCUUCAGUUUAGAUCUUGGAGGCAUAUCAACUGUGGUUCUAAAUGGCUAUGAUGUAGUAAAGGAAUGCCUUGUUCAUCAAAGUGAAAUUUUUGCAGACAGACCAUGCCUUCCUUUAUUCAUGAAGAUGACAAAAAUGGGAGGCUUACUCAAUUCCAGAUAUGGCCGAGGAUGGGUCGAUCACAGACGAUUAGCUGUAAACAGUUUUCGAUAUUUUGGAUAUGGCCAAAAGUCUUUUGAAUCUAAAAUCUUGGAAGAAACCAAAUUUUUCAUUGAUGCUAUUGAAACUUACAAAGGUAGACCUUUUGACUUUAAACAGUUAAUAACGAAUGCUGUUUCAAACAUAACUAAUCUGAUCAUUUUUGGAGAACGAUUCACUUAUGAAGACACCGAUUUUCAGCACAUGAUUGAGUUAUUUAGUGAAAACGUGGAACUAGCUGCCAGUGCCUCAGUCUUCUUGUAUAAUGCCUUUCCAUGGAUUGGCAUCCUGCCUUUUGGAAAACAUCAACAGCUGUUUAGAAAUGCAGCUGUAGUCUAUGAUUUUCUCUCCAGACUCAUUGAAAAAGCUUCAGUCAACAGAAAGCCUCAGCUACCUCA